rnacentral:rRNA from 1 species
AAAUUACCCACUCCCGGCAMSGGGAGGUAGUGACAAAAAAUAACGAUACGGGACUCUUAUGAGGCCCCGUWAUCGGAAUGAGUACACUUUAAAUCCUUUAACAAGGAUCCAUUGAAGGGCAAGUCUGGUGCCAGCAGCCGCGGUAAUUCCAGCUUCAAUAGCGUAUAUUAAAGUUGUUGCGGUUAAAAAGCUCGUAGUUGGUUCUGCGUGCUACGCUGUCGGUUCGCCGCCUGCCGGUGUWACUGGCAUGCCGUGGCAUGUCCUGCCGGUGGCGUGCGGGAGCCUUGUCAGGUGACGGCCCGGGUUCGCUCGRUGCCGUAGGCCGGAGGACCAACCCGUGCGCCUACUCUAUCCUACCUAGGUGCUCUUCACCGAACCUCACCAGGCCAGGACAUUGGAAGGAUUGACAGAUUGAUAGCUCUUUCUUGAUUCAGUGGGUAGUGGUGCAUGGCCGUUCUUAGUUGGUGGAUCGAUUUGUCUGGUUAAUUCCGAUAACGAACGAGACUCUAGCCUAUUAACUAGGCGUUUUCCGGUGUCCCCGCCACCGGCGACAAUCAUUCUUCUUAAGGGGACAGGCGGCUUAUAGCCGCACGAGAUUGAGCAAUAACAGGUCUGUGAUGCCCUUAGAUGUCCUGGGCCGCACGCGCGCUACACUGAAGGAAUCAGCGUGUGCCUCCCAGGCCGAAAGGCCCGGGUAAUCCGCUGAACCUCCUGCGUGCUAGGAAUUGGGGCUUGCAAUUGUUCCCCAUGAACGAGGAAUUCCCAGUAAGCGCGAGUCAUAAGCUCGCGUUGAUUACGUCCCUGCCCUUUGUACACACCGCCCGUCGCUACUACCGAUUGAAUGAUUUAGUGAGGUCUUCGGACUGGCGGUAAUCCCUA